GUGUCCCUGCUUGGUACGUUUGAGGUGUUUUAUAAAUACCUACACUACCAAUAUGGGAGCCCGGUCUUCCGCAGAUUAAAUUGCAGGCCUCCCGCUCUUGUGGCGGAAGUUGGAAGCACGAUGCUGUGGAGAGGGCACCCACCUGCAUGAACGCAGGGUUUUUAUAACGCCUUACGGCUUGGCGGGGUAUGA
rnacentral:other from 1 species